AGAGUUUGAUCAUGGCUCAGAAUCAACGCUGGCGGCGUGCCUAACACAUGCAAGUCGAACGAGAAAGUGGAGCAAUCCAUGAGUACAGUGGCGACCGGGUGAGUAACACGUGACUAACCUACCCUCGAGUGGGGAAUAACUCCGGGAAACCGGAGCUAAUACCGCAUAACAUCGCAAGAUCAAAGCCGAAAGGCGCUUGAGGAGGGGGUCGCGGCUGAUUAGCUAGUUGGCGGGGUAAUGGCCCACCAAGGCGAAGAUCGGUAUCCGGCCUGAGAGGGCGCACGGACACACUGGAACUGAAACACGGUCCAGACUCCUACGGGAGGCAGCAGUGGGGAAUUUUGCGCAAUGGGGGAAACCCUGACGCAGCAACGCCGCGUGGAGGAUGAAGUCCCUUGGGAUGUAAACUCCUUUCGACCGGGAAGAUACUGACGGUACCGGAUGAAGAAGCACCGGCUAACUCUGUGCCAGCAGCCGCGGUAAUACAGAGGGUGCGAGCGUUGUUCGGAAUUAUUGGGCGUAAAGGGCGCGUAGNNNGUGCGGUAAGUCACCUGUGAAAUCUCCUGGCUCAACUGGGAGUCUGCAGGCGAAACUGCCGUGCUGGAGUGUGGGAGAGGUGAGUGGAAUUCCCGGUGUAGCGGUGAAAUGCGUAGAUAUCGGGAGGAACACCUGUGGCGAAAGCGGCUCACUGGACCACAACUGACGCUGAGGCGCGAAAGCUAGGGGAGCAAACAGGAUUAGAUACCCUAGAGAGUUUGAUCAUGGCUCAGGAUGAACGCUGGCGGCGUGGAUAAGUCAUGCAAGUCGAGGGGCCCGCAAGGGCACCGGCAGACGAGGUAGUAAUAAUUAGGUACGUACCCAGGGGUCGGGCAUAGCUCGCCGAAAGGCGGGGUAAUUCCCGAUAGUCUCGCAAGAGUAAAGUUUUUUCGCCCCCGGAACGGCCUGAUCGGUAUCAGCUAGUUGGUAAGGUAACGGCUUACCAAGGCUAUGACGCCUAGGGGACCUGAGAGGGUGACCCCCACCGAUGGGACUGAGAUACGGCCCAUACACCUACGGGUGGCUGCAGACGAGAAUAUUCGACAAUGGGCGAAAGCCUGAUCGAGCGACGCCGCGUGGAGGAUGAAGUGCUUCGGUAUGUAAACUCCUUUUGCCAGGGAAAAAGUUAUUGAUUGUACCUGGAGAAUAAGACGUUGCUAAACUCGUGCCAGCAGCAGCGGUAAUACGAGUGCGUCGAGCGUUAUCCGGAAUCAUUGGGCGUAAAGGGUGUGUAGGUGGCACUAUUAGUCUCGCGUUAAAUCUUUCGGCUCAACCGAGAGGCCGCGUGGGAAACGGCAGUGCUUGAGGACGGAAGAGGUCUCUGGAACUCUAAGUGUAGCGGUGAAAUGCGUUGAUAUUUAGGGGAACACCAAAAGCGAAGGCAAGAGACUGGUCCGCUCCUGACACUGAAACACGAAAGCGUGGGUCGCGAAUGGGAUUAGAUACCCUAGUAGUCC
rnacentral:rRNA from 1 species